GUGGGGCAGCCCCGCAACCCAAGGAAACAUCUACCCUCCUUCUGUGUCUCCAGAUUCUCCUUGACAAGAGGUCAAGGUCGUUGCAGUCAAGCCCAUGGAAGCCUGGGUAACUAUCAGCUGGUACCAAAAUGUGUGCUCCUUUUUCUCCUGAUGUUCCCAGAAAUACUGGUCACAUGAAUGGCCCAUCUCCAUCGUCCUCCCCAGCCACAGCGGAGUGUCCACAGAGGACAGUCUUGGAUGGCACAGAGUGAGUCUCUGAGGUAGGACUCUGUUGAUUUAGUCCCACUGAGGCUGCUCUCCACCACCUGGCACUCAAACAUCAGCCGGCUUCACCAUUCCAAAAGUGACCAAGACUCUCCCCUGCUCUGCAGUGUCAUUCAGAGCUGAGGAUGCACAAGAUGGUGUCCAGCUGACCCCUUGCUCACUGUUGAGGCUGUCAGCCUUGUUCCAUCGUAGGGCACCAGGCUUCUUAUAAAUACUGGAGGACAGAGCUUGUUUUGUGCUCUCCAUGGCAUGGACCAGGACAACUCAUUGCCAUUUACUGCAUGAAAUGUUGCUUGACUUCACCUGGACAUAAUCGCUCCCUUCUGAACUUCCAUGGGUCUUUGUUUCUCUUUAAUGGCACCAAUGCUGUCCUACCAGGGUGGGCUACAUCUUUUGCAGAGCCCAAGACAAAAUGAAAAUAUGGGGCCUCUUGUUCAAAAGCAGCAAACAAGUGCCAUUAAAGAGAUUGAAACGGAAAGCGUUUGCCUUUUUUCUG
rnacentral:lncRNA from 10 species